GCUCUAUGGUCGGGUUGUUGUCUCUUUGGCACAUUCCCCAUUUCCAUUCUCAAUUUUACAUAUACAGUCAUGACAGUGUUGAAUGUUAUAGCUUAGAAUGAAUAAAAGCAUGGAUUCAUAAUUUCAGCAUUGUAAAAUUGAGAAUGGAAAUGGGGAAUGUGUCAAAGGGGCACCAACCCGACACUAAAG
rnacentral:sRNA from 1 species